UUUUAUAUGAAUUAGGUGUAUUUAUCAUGAAUUCCAAAAACACGUGUAUAACUAGCGGUGAUAUGUUGGAUUGAAGUUGGCUAAGAAGAUGUAACACAGAAAUGGAUGGUAAUUUAUACUUUAUAAAACAGACUGGGUCAAUUUUGAAAUUGGCUGAUGGGAAGACAACACAAGGGUUAAAGCACAUUUGUGGUGCUUGCUGGGCUACA